rnacentral:lncRNA from 1 species
GAGACAACAGCAGUGGAUCUGAGAUAUUACACGAGGAACUUUAAUGUGUGGGAAAUGAUUCGGUGACUCACACGCUCCCCAUGUUUCAUUUUCUCCGAGCCCACAUCCCUACAUCUACCAUCCCUGCUCCUCAUUCUGGGCCCAGUGGUUUUCUCACCAAAUCACAGACUUCAGAGCUGGCAGUGUUGAGAGUCGGAACACAGAAGGAAGUACAUGUCCUCAAGUCUACAUACAUGAAGGGCUAAGUCAGGCAAAGAAGGUGCUUUUAAUUAAGAACCAAAGGGUACCUUUAAUUAUCUCCAGUGUUUCAAAUAGGAUGAGCAUACUGCCUGUGAUUUAAAUCAGAAAUCAUGGAUCAGAAAGUUGGUUAUCACAAAGUUCAUAUGAAUUCCCAGAGCCAUCUAGAGGAGAAAGAAGGAGAAGAGGAGGAACAAAAAGCAGGACUCAUUUUCUGAGCAUCAUUGUAUGACAAGCACUCUGUUUGGUGUGUACGCCUUACACUUAUCAUAUGUUAUGAUGGUGUCUCUACAAUGAGUUCCAAGAAAGACAAAAAGACCAUUCAAAUU